rnacentral:rRNA from 1 species
AGUCGACGGGCUCUUCGGAGCAAGUGGCGGACGGGUGAGUAACGCGUGAGAAUGUGCCUUGAGGAUGGGGAUAACAAUAGGAAACUAAUGCUAAGACCCAAUGUGCCUUAAGUGGUGAAAAAUGAAAAUUGCCUGAAGAGGAGCUCGCGUCUGAUUAGCUAGUUGGGGUGGUAAAAGCGCACCAAGGCGACGAUCAGUAGCUGGUCUGAGAGGAUGAGCAGCCACACUGGGACUGAGACACGGCCCAGACUCCUACGGGAGGCAGCAGUGGGGAAUUUUCCGCAAUGGGCGAAAGCCUGACGGAGUAAUACCGCGUGAGGGAGGAAGGCUCUUGGGUUGUAAACCUCAAAACUUAGCGAAGAAAAAAAUGACGGUACCUAAUUUAAGCAUCGGCUAACUCCGUGCCAGCAGCCGCGGUAAUACG